GGCGUCCUCACGGCAAUUUGCUGGCGUGCAAGCCUGACCCUCUAACGCCUCAUGAGUGAUGAAGGCCUUCGGGUCGUAAAACUCUGUCCUAAGGGAAGAAGAAGUGACGGUACCUUAGGAGGAAGCCCCGGCUAACUACGUGCCAGCAGCCGCGGUAAUACGUAGGGGGCAAGCGUUAUCCGGAAUCACUGGGCGUAAAGGGUGCGUAGGCGGCUGAUCAAGCCAGGGGUGAAAGGCAAUAGCUUAACUAUUGUAAGCCUUUGGAACUGGUCAGCUUGAGUGCAGGAGAGGAAAGCGGAAUUCCUAGUGUAGCGGUGAAAUGCGUAGAUAUUAGGAGGAAACACCCGUGGCGAAGGCGGCUUUCUGGACUGUAACUGACGCUGAGGCACGAAAGCGUGGGGAGCAAACAGGAUUAGAUACCCUGGUAGUCCACGCUGUAAACGAU
rnacentral:rRNA from 1 species